rnacentral:rRNA from 1 species
GCGGCCAGGGCGGAGGGGAAACACCCGUACCCAUUCCGAACACGGAAGUGAAGCCCUCCAGCGAACCAGCUAGUACUAGAGUGGGAGACCCUCUGGGAGCGCUGGUUCGCCGCC